AGCUGUUUAGCUAUCUAAAAUGAGUUACAUCUAUUUGCAUUUAUCUCCUUUAUAAUAAAUUAAAAUUUACUAUGCUAAGAAUAAGUCUUUUUAAAAAUAUGUAGAUCACAGGUGUUCAAGAUAUUGAGCUAGUUCCCUAAACGGCUUUGGUUCAAGUUUCUCUAGAUUUAAAAUAUUGAAGAUGAUGCCAGCAGCUUUACCUAACUCUUAGACAUAAACUAAAUGCAACUACGUAAUCUCGGGAGAAUUUUCCUGCUUUGAAAAGAGAUUGGAAUCUUCUCCCAGAAGAAGGGGUAAUAGGUAAGCAAAGAGAAUUGAAAUCACUGUGCAUGUCCUACCUGACCAAAGUCAUAGGUAAGUACCAACCUCCCACUCAGUUUUCAAUUCCUAAAAUGCUCCUGUUUCACAUAAUGUGUUUACCUCACAUACAGUUGAAAAUUAUCUUAUUACAUUUAAUUAGGAAAACCAAAAGUGAUUUUUGGAUACGGCUCCUAAAGAUGACUGACACCAGUAUGCUCUGUGUUGUGGUUUGAACGUGUUCCCCACAGUUUGUGUUUAGGAAACAAUCUCUAAAGAUAUAUGUUGAUAGUAUUUGGAGGUGGGUAUAUGAUGUCUUUCCAUGUGAUGCCUUCCUCCUUGUUAUGAAGCAAAGAAGGCCCUCACUAUACGUGGCCACUUGAUGUUGAACUUUUCAGCCUCUAGAACUGUGAGAAAUAUAUAUUUUUUAAAAUAAAUUAACCAUGUUUGAUAUUCUCUUAAAGCAUCACAAAGUUAACUAAGACAGAAAACUUGUACAAAGAAUGGGGUUGUUAUUGCAAACCACAAAGUAACUGAGACAGGUCUCAAUCAAUUUAGAAGUUUAUUUUUCUAAGGUUAAGGACAGGCUGCAGAGGGAGGUCUGUGCCUUUCUCCAAAUACGAUUUUACAGGCUUCCAUAUUUAAAGGGGAAGAGUGAGCUGGAUGGGAAAGAGGAAAGGUAUGAUAAUCCACAUGUUGCAAAAGAAAAGGAACAGGCAAGUGUUCCUCUAGGGUCAGAAAAUUGGCACUUUACAUAAGAUAGGGUGAACAUAGAGUAGCUACCUGUGGAGAUACUUAACCUUUUAUCUGUAGCUAUCUGCUUAGGAACAAAAGGAAAGGCAGUUUCUGGCAUGACUCAGCUUUCAGCUUAAUUGUUUCCUUUUGGCAUGGUGAAUUAUGAUCCCAAGUUUUUAUUUUCUUUUCACAUUGCUAUGCCAAUUACCCAAAGAUGUGAAAGUGGCUUUAGAACUGGGUAAUCAGAGACUUGGAAGAAUUUCAAAGAACAGGCCAAAACAAAAACAAAAACAAAAACAAAAACAAAACACACUGUAUCACUGUAUUUCCCUGAGCAGAGCAUUAAGGUCUAUUCUGGUGAGGGCUCAGAAGAAGAGCUGUGUAGGCAAAGUCUGGAUGCCUUAAAGAGUACUUAAGUGCUUGUGACCAGUAUGUUGGUAAAAAUAGAGACAGUAUAGGCAAUUCUAAUGAGGUUUCAAAUGGAAUUGAAGAGCAAGGCAUUGGAUACUUAAGUGAAGACCAGCCUCGUUACACAGUUGCAAGGAACUUGGCUGCAUUGUGUCCAUUCCCUAGGGUUUUAUAUAAGGAAGAACUUAAAAAUGAUGAACCAGGAUAUCUGACAGAAGAAAUAUCUAAGCAACAAGCAUUCAGGCUGCUGCCUGGCUACUUUUAGAGAUGUAAGAGCAAGGAGAUACUUUAAAGGCUGACUUUAAAGGGAAGCAGGUUUCCAAGACAAUCCUAAGUGGGUGACCACCCAAAAUUUUGUUACAGAGAUUCAUAGGGAUAGAAUGCAGCCAGGCAGUAUUUAUUAAGACAAUGGGAGAAUGACCCAAAGCCAUAUUUAAGGCUGCCUCUCCCAUGUCAGGCUCACACCUUGAGAAUAGCAGGAUGACUUCCAGUGGCCCUGGGAAACUUCCACAGGCUCACAGUCCACCUCAACUUUCUGCUCCUUGCAUUUUAGCACAGCACGGCUUGGCUACUUCCGCUGUGACUCACAUGUGCCCAGGUGCAAUGUUAACCUUCUCUCUGGAAGUACAAGCGGUAAGUGUUGUCCAGUUUAGGUACCAGAUAAACUGGGGCUGCAUUAUGCUCAGCUCCUUUUUAGCUAUGACUGGAAGCAAGUUACUUAUCAUUCCUGUAACUCUUUCUCCUCAGUUGUAGAAAUGAAAAAUAUAACAGUAACUCUUUCAUAGGGUUUAUGUUGAGAAUUAACUCAGCAAAUUAACAGAUGUCACUACCAUAAAUAUUAGUUGGUGUUGUUAUAAUUAUUAUUAUUCUAGCUUAAGACUCUAUCAACAAUACAGUGGAAGCAUAUGACAUCCUAUGAGAUGUCAUAUAAAUUUGAGAAAUCAUAUAAAUUUACAUGAGAAAUUUGAAAAAUCAUAUAAAUUUAUAUGAGAAAUCAUAUAAAUUUGCUGAAAACUUUAUAUAGCACAGAACCAGAAGGGAGAUAUAUCCCAGAGGCAAAAAUACAUCACAAAGGCAGUUCCUGCCAGCAAGUUUCUCUUUUACCCUGUGUUCAAUUGAAAUGUAAUUGCUACAUCAGUAAAAGCAUACCUAUUGCCAAGGCACAUAUUCGCAUGCACAUCUGGAUAGCAGACACAGUCAUACUUAUUAAGUGAUAAAUUUACAGUAAUUGAUUAUUACUUCUUUUCUAAUAACCAAAGUAGUUAAAUGAAUAGGUAUAUACUAUGGAUCACAGGGCUAGGAUUUUUCAAGUUUUUGAAGUUUACACCAAUUUUCAUCUUCCUCAGGAUGGAUAAUAGCAACAAUGUGUUGUUUUUGUUAUUCAGUGGAUGAAUGUGUCUAUCCUAUCAUAAUUUGAGCAGGCUCCAAAUGUCAAGUAAUCAAAGUGAGAAUGUUGCUAUAUAACAAACACCCAUUCUUCUUACAUAUUCAGGAACUGACAGAAAAAAAGUAACUUGGAUUCAGGAACUCACUGCAAUUAAUACGAGGCAAAUGUUGUUAGAGUUUUAGUGAUCACCUGCUUCCCACAACACCCAUUCUGUAAAUUAGAAUUUAUGGUGGACUUCAUGUAAACUGUAAUUGCUCAGGAAGUAGUAUUAGCUUGAAGCUUAUAUCCAAUUGCCCUGUAAAUAUUUUCUUUUCGAAUUACAUGGAGUAAAAGCCCCUAGGUUUUUGGAGAAGUUCAGAAGAAAUGCUAAAGGAGAAUAUGCAUGUGUAUUGUUCUAAAAAUGUUUAUUUUCAAUUCCUACUUUUUUAAAUUUGUCUUUCUCAAAGCUUUAUGAGUUCCAUUUACUUGGCAAAUUUUCAUUGACUAAUUGUUAGUUUCUAAAGAUUUGGUUAUAGUGACUAUUAUGAAUAGUCAAAUUAGGCCUUUGUAAUAUUUGAGCAAAAAUCUGAAGGAAAUAAUUGAGUAAGCUUCACGGAUAACUACAGACAGAAUCAUUGAAUAGAGGAGACCCCUUAUUUAAGCGUGUUCUAAGAAGCAGUAAUAAGACCAAGGUGGCUUUAGUAGUUUAAAAAACAAAACAAAACGAAACAAAACAGGAUACCAAGAGAUAAGGUCAGAGAUAUAAGAAAGGUACGUAUUACAUAGGACCUGUAAACCUUUAUACAGUCUUUUACUUUUAUGCUAAGUGAUAGAAGAAACUAAACAGGAUUCAGAAAAUAGCUUUAAUAUGAUCAAGCAUAUUUUAAUUGGAUAAAACUAGCUAUUGCGUAUAGAAUAAAUUAUAGAAUGAAAGAAGAGGAAUUAUUUAAAACGAUUUUGCCUGCAAUUCAUUCUUGAAGUAGGUAAGACCUAUUUGGUUUUAAGCAACAGAAUUAAACUUAGUCAAAUACAAAUUUGGAGUAACUUAAAUUAGUUUAAAAUAUAAUACAUUCAACAAGUAUGUAAAUAAUUGUAUAAGGUUUAUGAGCAAUGUACUGGAGUAGGCUCAAAAAAAGAUUUAAUGACAUUAUCUAAACAAACAUUGAAAAAGACAGAUAUCAGUAUGGUUUUGGAACCUCUGCAACAGGGUUUUUUAAAUCUUAGCUUUCUGGUGUACUGUGAAAUAAAGAACAUUUCAAUCCUGAGUCUCCAUUCAUAAAUCAAAUUGUAGAAAGUGAAAAGCAAUGGUUCAGCUUGGGUCAGGAAUGCUCCACAAGUCUAUUACUGUGUAUGAAAAUGAGAAUAACAUUCAUUUGCCCAGCCUCAAUUACACGUCACCACUUUGGCAAGGCAAAUGGGGUUUGAUUCCUAAGGAAGAGACAGAAAUCAUGUCAGGCAGACAAGACAAAGUAUAGCAUUAAUAUAACAUACAGUGGUGUAGUGCAUAACAUUUCUGUGAACUUUGAACACAUAUAAGAUGGUGGUCCCAUAAGAUUAUAAUGACACUGAAAAAUUCCUAUUGCCUAGCUGUUGUAAUGUAUUAACUUUUU